rnacentral:rRNA from 1 species
GACGAACGCUGGCGGCGUGCUUAACACAUGCAAGUCGAACGGAAAGGCCCUGCUUUUGUGGGGUGCUCGAGUGGCGAACGGGUGAGUAACACGUGAGUAACCUGCCCUUGACUUUGGGAUAACUUCAGGAAACUGGGGCUAAUACCGGAUAGGAGCUCCUGCUGCAUGGUGGGGGUUGGAAAGUUUCGGCGGUUGGGGAUGGACUCGCGGCUUAUCAGCUUGUUGGUGGGGUAGUGGCUUACCAAGGCUUUGACGGGUAGCCGGCCUGGGAGGGUGCCGGCCACAUUGGGACUGAGAUACGGCCCAGACUCCUACGGGAGGCAGCAGUGGGGAAUAUUGCACAAUGGGCGGAAGCCUGAUGCAGCAACGCCGCGUGCGGGAUGACGGCCUUCGGGUUGUAAACCGCUUUCGCCUGUGACGAAGCGUGAGUGACGGUAAUGGGUAAAGAAGCACCGGCUAACUACGUG